rnacentral:RNase_P_RNA from 1 species
CGACGGGGCCGGACGGCCGCUGGCCGCUUCGCGCGGCGAGAGGAAAGUCCGGGCUCCCCAGGACAAGGUGGUCGGUAACGCCGACCGGCCGCGAGGCCCGGGAAAGUGCCACAGAAAACAAACCGCCUCGCCGCUCACGCGGCGCGGUAAGGGUGAAACGGUGCGGUAAGAGCGCACCAGCAGUCGAGGUGACUCGACUGGCUUGGCAAACCCCACCUGGAGCAAGGCCAAGCAGGAAGUCGCCGCGGCUCGCCGCGGCCGGUUUGGUCCGAACCGCCGACUUCCGGGUAGGCCGCUCGAGACGUUCAGCAAUGGACGUCCUAGAGGAAUGGCCGUCGUCCACCCUCGCGGGUGGAAACAGAACCCGGCUUACAGGCCCCGUCGAUCC